GGCUGGUGUUGCGGGGGUUGCUUGAGGCAACCGGUCCCUGGCAGUGAGGGACCGGUUCCCGAACGUGAUCCCAGCGCGAAAAGCCAAAAAUUGGCUAAGUCCUGAAGUCCCAGUUCUCGGGAACCGGUCUCUCAGGAAGGAACCGGUCUCCCGAGGACCGGUCUCUCUGGGAGAGACCGGUACCCGAACGCGUGACCCGAGCUGAAGCUCUCGGGGACCGGUCCCAAGUCGGGGAGACCGGUCCCUCCGCGCGCAGAACGCCCAGUAAGGGCUGUGCACAGAGUGAAAAGUGGAGGGGGCCAGCUGG
rnacentral:lncRNA from 1 species